rnacentral:rRNA from 1 species
GACGAACGCUGGCGGCGUGCCUAACACAUGCAAGUCGAGCGGAGAUGUACUGAAGAUUUAUCGGAUGUACAUCUUAGCGGCGGACGGGUGAGUAACGCGUGGGCAACCUGCCUUUCACUGGGGGAUAACACAGGGAAACCUGUGCUAAUACCGCAUGACAUCACGUAGGGCAUCCUAUGUGAUCAAAGGAGAGAUCCGGUGGAAGAUGGGCCCGCGUCCAAUUAGCUGGUUGGUGAGGUAAAGGCUCACCAAGGCGACGAUUGGUAGCCGAACUGAGAGGUUGAUCGGCCACAUUGGGACUGAGACACGGCCCAGACUCCUACGGGAGGCAGCAGUGGGGAAUAUUGCGCAAUGGGGGGAACCCUGACGCAGCAACGCCGCGUGAAGGAAGAAGGUCUUCGGAUUGUAAACUUCUUUGAUGAGGGACGAAUAAAGUGACGGUACCUACAAAAACAGCCACGGCUAACUACGUGCCAACCGCCGACGGUAACACCACAUAGUACG